AGCGACCAAAUAUUCGCACAGCACUUCGAGCUAAAGGAGCAUUCGGAGACAACAAAGGCGUCGGCUCUUUGAAAGUACUGCCAAGGAGGAAAACAUGCAGCUGAAAGUUAUCCUCGUGGGCUUGACCAUCUUCGGUCUCAUUGUUGCAGAGAGCGGUGCCAUGGCUGCCAGCAGCAGUGCCAACGAGGCCGAAGCCAGGGCUGAGCCACAGUCUGCUGAGCGCGCAGAGGAAAGUAAUGCUGAGGAGGCACGCAUCAGUGGGGCGUGCCUGGAAUCACUGUGCGGGUAGCAAC
rnacentral:lncRNA from 1 species